UGACAGUACUCCUACGGGGAGGCAGCAGUGGGGGAAUAUUGCACAAUGGGCGCAAGCCUGAUGCAGCCAUGCCGCGUGUGUGAAGAAGGCCUUCGGGUUGUAAAGCACUUUCAGUCGUGAGGAAGGUAGUGUAGUUAAUAGCUGCAGUAUUUGACGUUAGCGACAGAAGAAGCACCGGCUAACUCCGUGCCAGCAGCCGCGGUAAUACGGAGGGUGCGAGCGUUAAUCGGAAUUACUGGGCGUAAAGCGCAUGCAGGUGGUUUGUUAAGUCAGAUGUGAAAGCCCGGGGCUCAACCUCGGAAUAGCAUUUGAAACUGGCAGACUAGAGUACUGUAGAGGGGGGUAGGAAUUUCAGGUGUAGCGGUGAAAUGCGUAGAGAUCUGAAGGAAUACCGGUGGCGAAGGCGGCCCCCUCGGACAGAUACUGACACUCAGAUGCGAAAGCGUGGGGAGCAAACAGGAUUAGAUACCCUGGUAG
rnacentral:rRNA from 1 species